rnacentral:tRNA from 1 species
GGCCUCGUAGCUCAGUUGGCUAGAGUGUUGGCUGUACUAAAGCCUUCCCCUUAAUGGCGUAGGUUCGAAUCCCACCCGGGCCG